GCAAGUCGAACGCACAUUGCUGGCCUGAAACCCUAGCGUUUCGGGUCACGUACAUCCGAGGGUCG
rnacentral:rRNA from 1 species